UUCAACGAACGGCUUCUGCACGGUCCAGGAAAUACCAUGGAACCGUAUUUUUUGCAGAAAAUUAGCGAUUGAUUUUUGAGAAGAAAAAAAAAAAAAAGAAAAGAAAUUCUCAUCAGAAAAUAGGGAUGAUAUUUCAACACAUUAUAGAAAUUAUAACACCGCAUUGUAUUAUAGGUACAUACAUACAAUCCCGAGUGGGGACUCAUAUUCAAUGGGAACAAAGAGCUGGCGUCAUUAAACUGACAUUUAGCGGGAUCAUUGAAUCGCUCGUUUUUUGCAUUUUCCAUUUUUCCACGCAUACCAGGUGGGCUGAAUAAUUCAAUCGAGGGUACCCGUAUAGCCUGCGUCGUUAUACGCAUAUUUAUCGAACUAAAAAGUUGGUUAUCCUCUUGUGCGAGGCGCCGUGUAAUUACCUAUUCAAAUAAGGAAAAAUUGAUCGUUCGGAUUCUCCGGAAGUUGUGGGAUGAAAAUUUGAGAAAUCUUGCAGACUAAGAGCACAGAGGAGAAUUUUUAUAGAGUAGAAAAACACGAGGCCACCCCUUAUCUAGGCGGUAAGUCCUUUACGUGCCGAUGCACAAUGCAAGAAACGAGGUUGUGUAUACCUAUAGGUAUACGUAUGUAUAGCGUGUGCCUAUGCCGGUUAUAUUAUCUGUAAUGUAUAUUUUAUGAUGUAUUAUAUCUGUAUAAUAUAACUGCGGAUGCCCUCCAUUCAGUGCUGAACGACCGGAGUCUCUGUACAGACAUUCAGCGGCAGUUAUAUUCAUGCGCGUGACCGCUCGCCAAUGGAUUCCGUGUUUCCUCGAUUGUUAGCGAUUUUGAACGACGCCAGCCCCCGUUUGAUCCGACUUUCAAUGUUCUAAAUCGUUCUACCGUUAUCUUUCUGUGGCUUUUAUCUUUAUUUACCAGAUCGUUACGAUUUUACGAACCGAAGAAGACCCGGCGCCUGCUGUAUAUCUGUACAUACAUACCUCGCCAUUAUACAUAUGUACACCCGACCGCUGCCGAUGUAUGUAUUUCUGCUUUUCAUCGGGCAAAACGCGAAAGGAUAUUAUACAAGAGUCAAGAAGGAGGAAAAUGAUGAGCGAUUCGAUUGAAGUCAUCGUACGGCCAGCGAGUCACACCUUGUGAAUCGAGGAUAAGUAUACGGACUUAAUUUAACAAAGUUUUCAAAUUUUUGAAGCGCAGUUUUAAUUUAUACAUCCCAAUCAACGCGAGAUUGAAAAGAUUGCAUUAGUUUCUGUACUUUUCUGAACAGACACACCUACCAAUUUUUUUAUUUUUUUUUUUUGUUCAAUUUGUCUUGAAAUUGGUUACGAUUCUAUCAUAGAUGAAUUGACUCCACGCAAUAAGGAAACUAUAGAUCGCAGGACCAUUGACCCUUUUUGACACCUGCGACAUCUUAUUUGCGACAUGUUUUUCCCCAUUUACACUAGUUCUGGCACAACUGCACCUCGAAAGAUUCACCCUGUACAUUAUUAAUGGAGAGAAGAUGUAAAAUAUGUAUCUUGAUCAACUUUGCCACGUUUUCUGUUCGAUGUCACGACACAAAGGUAACACGGUUGGGUUCGGUAAUCAAGAGAAAAAAGCUAAAGAGAGAGAGAGAGAGAAAGAGAUUUCAUUUUUUGUUAAUUUUGUUUUUCAUAUAGAAUUUACCGUUUCAGUAUAUUGGAUCAUUCGGUUAGAAGAUUAAAGAGAUUUUAAUGACACUCGUAGAUCUCUUUUCAUGUAUGCGAAUAUACUGAUAUUUAUUAUAUGAAUUUCACGAAUAAAACCAGCUCUUAAUUUUUUUUGUACACGAGUCAAGUUCCCUGGCAAAGACAAACGAUUCGGGGGUUUAUUAUAAUUCGCGACAAUAUCUUCUCAAAUCGUGUUACAAUUACGAACACGAGUAAUCUAUAUUGAAAAUCACCAAGCGAUCAGACGAUCCUUCAAUUAAUUUAUCGAUCUUAUAUAAUAAUACGUGCAUUUGUAUAAAUUCAAUCUUCAUGGCUUCAAUUAAUUUUAUCAAUAUAAAUAUGGAAAUUAGCGCAUUGUAGGAAAAAAAAAAAAAAAGAAUUAUGUCAAUUAAUGUACACCUUAUAACAUCUCGUCGAUCACGCGGUUGCAGAAGGGUAAGAGCUUUUGUAUAAUUUAUUUAUUCUGGAGAUCGAGGCGCUCGGCGUAUCGAGUUGCGAGUUCGAUAAAAUAAAUCGCGCUCUAAAAUAUAAAAACUUUCAACUAAAUGAGGAAUAUUAUACGGUCCCAUAUUAUGAUAAUAUGUUUCGCAUAUUCUUACACACCGUCCAAUUUGCAGGAGCCGAACGUAGCCGAGGUAGGCGAACGUGAAACAUUUUAAUUAAUUACAGCGUAAUUAAAAUAGCACGAAAAAUAAAAAAGUAAUAAACAAAUAAACGAAAAGUGUAUCCACUAUUAUAUAACGUUUCUACGUUCGAUAUUUGCCGGGAAUAUGUGAUAUUCUUGAAAUUGUGUACAUACCACAGAAGUAUAUAUAUAUGUAUGUAUAAUAACACAAAUAGGAGAUGAAAGUAUAACGUUGCACCUAUAAUAUAUCAACGUGACACGUAAAUCUGCAAUCUUUGAGAGGCUAGGAAUAUCGGUAUAGAAAUACCUACAUGUAUAUCUGCCGUCAUUUGCCAGAGUUAAAAAUCAUGAGCUGUUCCGAAGCUUCUACAGAAAUCCUUUCAGGUGCACGUGUAUACCUGUAUGUAAAUAAAAUAUGCAAUAUUAGUUCGCAUAAUACAUAGAUAUGAAUACCUAUAUAUAUGUAGGUAUGUAUAACGAACGAUGAUCCAUCCCCGUGUAUAUUACGAGUUCUGCGUGGAAUUAAUUAGUGACGUGUCAGUUAUUCCUAAGUGGGUUUAUACCAUGAUUAUGUGUACGAACGGAGAGCCAACACUUUACAGGUAAUUCAUCUAUAUGUAUAACCUUAUAUGUAUAUACGUACACACGAAUUGCAUAUCAGAAUAUUUGUAUUCGUAUCGUAUUAAUAAUUAAAAGCUCAUUUCCCGAUUCCGCUCGACGAGUAUAUUUCGUAUAUAAAACCUGUAUUAAUUCUGCUUACAUAUAUAAAUUAAAUUAUGGGGUAUAAAUUCGUACGCGGAAUUAUUUAUAUUACCGCAGCGUAAAAGCGGCAUUGAUCAUGCUAAAUGACAUAGGUAAUAUCGCAACGAUAUAAUUAGGUAUACGCGAAUAAUCAAGCGUGAAACAAGGGUUGAGAUUCGUACAAAUACAUACAUGUACGGUAAAACUAUUAACUCGGCAAAUCGCAAUCGUUGAACAAUGUUAAAGCCCGAAUUUAUUUCCCCUUAAAUUCCGAGGGCGUGUCCGAAAUUCUAUCUAUGUCGCAUGUCCAUCGAGGUAUACGUUGCUAUAUAACUAUAUAGGUACGUGAAGUCGUCGGCGCGCAUGAUACAAGGGUUGUUCCAAGGGGCGUCUCGACGCAGGCGCCGGCUGGCGCAGUCCAACUACAAUAAAAGAGACCGGCUCACAAUUCCUGUUUGCCUGUUUUCCUACCGUUUGUUUCGUCCCAAUCUUCGGCCCUAAGUGCCCUGCCAUUAGCACCGAAGCUCGUCGAAAGCAAUCUCCAAUCUACAUUUUCCUUCGUGCGUAUAUUAUGUGCAGAGGUAUGAUACGCCGAGGCGUUGCGGCGCCGCGAUAUCACGUGUACGUUUUGUAACAUAUGUUCAGCGGAUCGUAGGACAGGCUUGUAACGCACGUUUCCCAUACGGCUUUUCUAUGCUUUUCCUGGUUGACUAUUAGGAGCGGCGGAACAGUCGGAUCACCCUCGAUGUGGUGCACAGGGCGGCUAGUCGGAACGUGUGUGUUAUAAAAUUGGAAAGGAGCCUUCUUAACCGGCGUACUUUCCUGUUCCAAAAGUGAGUACGUGCUUUGAAGCUCAAAUUGAGAUAGCAUUUCUGUGGUUGGAGUUACCGCAACAAUAUGUAUAUGUCCGUUCACCGCACAGUUUGCGGUUACUGUACCAUUAGCGGUGAAUUUUCCUGAAAAAUUCAUCGUCAUUCAAGAGUUCGAAUUCUCCGUCAUAUAUGGGCACGACGCGUGCAUCAAAUACCUCUCUGUUUUCUGUCACAUAUGUCUCCUCUGUAUAUAAACAGGUGAAUUAAAGUUUGACACGAUUUUCGAACGUACGAAGUACAUUAUCCUGUAAUUAAUGAUUAUAAUACCAUUUACGAAUGGACAUAGAAAAGCUUGAGGUAAUCAUCCAUCCGCUAAGCCUGAUUAUUAGUUACUUUUGCCUUACAUAUGCGUGGGAAAACGAGUUCAAAGGGGGUAAGAAAGUCAACGUCACGUAGUGUUGGUGUGGGUGUUGUAAGCCCUCGCGAUCAAUACAAACGCGGGUGAAGCUGCUUUCGUACGUCUUAUAGUCUCCGCGUGUCUACCUUCACUACCCAAAGAGGGUUAAUAUCAUUAAUAUGAAAGACUUCUCGGGAAAAAUCGGUAUUUUUUUGUCACUCCGAGCUGCUCCAGUUUUUCUCAGAAACUAAAUGAACAAAUCAAUAAAUAAUCAUGUGCAAUACCUUAACGAUAUUCAGUGGAUUAUACUACGUGUAUCUUCGCCUUUGUUUUUAGGCAAAAAACGAAGAAACGACAAACGCAUAAUUUGAUGAUUACUCAUCUGUGCCGGCGAAUUGAUGGUGUCGUUGGAAUGUGACGUGCUUUCUUUUCUCGAUUUCUCUAAGAAACAAGUAUCUUGAAAGCAGCUGAUUUGCCCAAAUCAGGACAAUGUUAUUGAAAUAAGCAAUCGAUACAAUUAGAUAACAAUAGCGCUUCGAACGAAUCUCAUUCGUUUGUUUUGAUUAUAGAAAAAUCUAAGAUUAUUUUCCUUCUUCCUACAUCAGGUGACGAAAUUUACCCCCUAGAAAUAUGCGCGACACCAGGACACCAUGACUAGGGAGCCUUGUAAUUUUUUUUCCGCCAUUUUAGGGGUUGCACUCGGUUGUUUAGAACGUGCGAAAGUGUCGGUUGAAAAUAUUUUCCAACCAGGAAUACAUGGAUCGUAUGGCACGGUCCUUUAGCCCGGUUGUCGAUGCAAGAUACCCCCAUAUACAGAAUCUCGUAGGUAGAAUACUACCAUAGAAGUGGAUCCAUUAUUUUGCUGAACUGUCAAAAGUGAAAUGCGAAGAUGUGUCUCCCGAAAGCCGAUCGUCAACGUCCCAUCAUUCAUCAAGAAGCGAGCGUUCGAAACAUUCGCUAUAUCAGGCCGACAUGACUACGAGGGAUCGUAUUUUUCAGCGGAUAACCUUGUGUGACCUAUAGCGAACAAGCCGCAAAGCGGCGCAACUUCCAUUCCCCUCAGGAAAACAGGAUUUUCGUGAUUCGAAUGGGAGUGGAAUUGAUAGCGAGAUAAACAAACAUUCGAAAGGAACCCUGUCAAUCAACCUUUCAAACGAAAUUAUGAUUAUGCCACUUACUAGUUCUCGGAAAUACUUUCGAAAUCAGUUGUCAACAUUAGAUUAUGUUUCGACAACUCAGAAUAGAUGCAGGAGAAACGGAAAUUAAUCGUUUUAAGAUUGAGAAGGUGUUCGAUAAAAUGUUUAUUAUAAAAACUAUUUUAUUUCAAAACUCUGAUAACGUGUAUAUUAUCGCUUUUUUCUCGGUACUUCUAUAACAAUAAGUUCUAUUUGAUUUUAUAUGCUUGUAUUUUUCUAUCUAUAGAAACGAGUGUAUUGCGGAAUGAAAUAACCGUAGUAACAAUGUGACUAUCGUUUUCACGCGCAUAAGCGGACAUCAAAACGAAAGGAAGGUUUUUCUACCAGGAUUGAAGGACCAGUACGAAGGAUCGAGAGCACGAUUCACCCAUCCGUUGUCCCACCCUCCUGCGGCUACUAUUUCACACGCUGUUCUCUCGUGCUAGCUCGUGCAACGCUGUCAGCGGAGGAACGCUACUUUAUCAGGAAUUGAGAACUUCGACACCUUCGAUCCAAGCAUACAUGUCGGUAGGUAUACCGCCAUUUCCCGGUGCAUUGGGGGCUGGAGCGUUGCCUCGCAACCAUCCACAUUCAGGGGGCGCAUCAAAACAAACUGGAUACGUUAAAAGAACAGGAUUCAAGGACCGCCUCGAAAGAUAAUUGAACUGCGAAGAGCAAAUAGCGAGGGUGAGUUGUCAGCGGAUCGCAACGAAGUGACCUUCGUUUUCGGGGAUACCUAUACCUAUACCUAUACCUAUGUCAUUAUAAUUGUGUAUUCAAAAAAAUUAUUGUCGGUUAACAAAAGCCGAGGCGCUCAACAGUUAUCGCUACCUUUCCGGAUCUCUGUGACUUCUAACCACCCUUUCCGGGUUCCUUGGCACGAGGACAGAACAUUCUUUAACUGGAAGCAGUGAACUGCAGCUGGGAGAAACAUAUACAUUGCACCAGGCACCGUUUUCAUGUUAGCAUAGAUAUUCUGUGAUGUUACCAACGUAACCGCGUUCACCAUGAAAGAAUGUCAAGACAAUUUUCUUACCUCGCUUAACAGGGUGCAAGAAAUUCGUCGGAACCGAGCGCGUUCUGCCGCGCGUUUUUUCUAUAAGGGUGACACAGGCAAGAUGGAUACGUAUGUUGAAAGGAUACGGAGACAAAUAACAUGUCCAGAUAUCAGGGCACUAGAAAUGACUCGUGGUACACGGAGGAUUUUGGUCCUUUCAACGUCUUAUUUCCAACCUACUAGUGCAUGAAGAUUUUGCCGAAGAGUGGAAAAAGGAACAUAGUUUUCCGUGAACAGGAUGCGAGGAAAGUUCGAAGGAUAUCAGUUUCUCUCGAUGUUUAUCCCAGAUCAACCGAAUAUCAUAUUUCCGCUGCUUCACGAACCAUCUGCAGGUAUCGUCUCAGUUGUCGACGCUGCGGACAUUAUUGACGGCAAAGCGGCGGUGAAAAGUAUCCUCCAUUAUCAGGAUUCGAGAAGUGCCUGCAGAAGUCUUGCUUAAUUUAUUGAUGUGGCGAAUCUAACGGCGGCGACGAACGUUCCGGAGAGCAGAACGAAUUUCCGAUCCUCUGCCGAGGUCGCUGUAAAAUUGUGUAAAGUUGACGUAUCGAAAUUUCGAACUUCAAGAUUGAAGACAACAAAACAUAGAUGCGACUCUCGGACCAUCAAGACACUAAAUUCGAUCUCUGUACUAAUGUGCACUACCCGACUACGAUUUGGAACUGUUAAUUCAUCUCUUUUAUGCCAGACUGUGGCCAAUUGUAAAACUGCUAUGGCCACGAAAAACAAAUCGUGAAUUAUUGGCGCAUGUUAUGUCAAGUUAUGCAUGUCAGGUAUAAAAAGAGGAAAACUUAAUACAACCAGCUGGUACCAUCAGGCUAAGGUAAGGUAAAGUAACGCGGGCCAAGUAUGAAGUGCUUCCUGAAGGUACUAAGAUCCUGGCAUAUUUUCAAGGAAUUUCCACGUGUUGCGUCUUGGCAGACACAGAUAUAUCUGUUUGCACGUGAAAGACUUCCAAGUUCCAAGCAACGCGAAUACAGGUGUAACUAUACAGUACACACUGUGAACCUGUAAUAGUUGAAAUGUGGCGGACGAAAGGUUUACUGACCUCGCACACAACCUUGGUUCUGGAUUCUUUAUAGACACGGAAAACUUCUCGGAGACCUCUACUAGCUUUUACAACCCUGAAGCUCAACUUCCUGUUUCCUCGUGGUUCUUUGACCGUUGCGUACCAUUUUUGUUAACCAGCCGAUAGGAUGUUAUUUACUCGAAACUGCGAUCGGAAGAACGUGCACAUGGUCAUGAUACGAUAGAAUGUGUAUACACAACUUCGGAAAGGAUACUCUUUGUUCUGCUCGCCUGGCACGAGUAUCUGCUACAGCACGUGGCUGUGUCUAGUUUUUGAUCUUUGUAGUGUCCACUGUACUUCAUCUAUCAUCUUUGAUCACAGCGGUACGACCUACAAGAGCGUGAAUACGAUGUCAACAUAUGUCAAUGAAUGCAUUUCCGCCAGAAAACGCACACAGAUGCUGAGAUGACUAUCUCAACACAUAUCUGGCGAGCUCAUUUUUUAUCAACAGUCGUGUAUAAAUAGCUGCCAGAAUUUGAAUGUCGGUUUUCAAACCAAGAUAACACCGGAGGUUGAAGGGUCACCUGUAUCUGGUCCUUCAAACAAGGGGCAAA